rnacentral:rRNA from 1 species
AUUGAACGCUGGCGGCAGGCCUAAUACAUGCAAGUCGAGCGGUAACAUAAAAGAAGCUUGCUUCUUUUGAUGACGAGUGGCGGACGGGUGAGUAAUAUUUGGGAAACUACCUGAUAGAGGGGGACAACAGUUGGAAACGACUGCUAAUACCGCAUAAAGCCUGAGGGUGAAAGCAGCAAUGCGCUAUCAGAUGUGCCCAAACGGGAUUAGCUAGUAGGUGAGGUAAAGGCUCACCUAGGCGACGAUCUCUAGCUGGUCUGAGAGGAUGAUCAGCCACAUUGGGACUGAGACACGGCCCAGACUCCUACGGGAGGCAGCAGUAGGGAAUAUUGCACAAUGGAGGAAACUCUGAUGCAGCCAUGCCGCGUGUGUGAAGAAGGCCUUCGGGUUGUAAAGCACUUUCGGAGGGGAGGAAAAGAUGACGUUACCCUCAGAAGAAGCACCGGCUAACUCCGUG